UACGAAGGGUGCAAGCGUUAAUCGGAAUUACUGGGCGUAAAGGGUGCGUAGGCGGUUGUUUAAGUCUGCCGUGAAAUCCCCGGGCUCAACCUGGGAAUGGCGGUGGAUACUGGGCAGCUAGAGUGUGUCAGAGGAUGGUGGAAUUCCCGGUGUAGCGGUGAAAUGCGUAGAGAUCGGGAGGAACAUCAGUGGCGAAGGCGACUACCUGGCCUGUUCUUGACGCUGAGGCGCGAAAGCUAGGGGAGCAAACGGG
rnacentral:rRNA from 1 species